GAGAAAAUUAUAAAAUGCUUCUCAUCAGAAAAGUUAGCCAAGAUGCAAGGAUGGUCAGAAGUUUUUCAAAGCAGGCAAGAUGUCCUGGAGAAAUAUUAUGUGCACGAGGACCUUGAAAUAGGAGCACAUCAUUUAGGCUUUCUCUGGGCCUCUGUGGCAAACACUAUUCCAACUAUGUUCUGGGCAAUGUAUUAUCUUCUGCGGCACCCAGAAGCUAUGGCAGCAGUGCGUGACGAAAUUGACCGUUUGCUGCAGUCAACAGGUCAAAAGAAAGGGUCUGGAUUUCCCAUCCACCUCACCAGAGAACAAUUGGACAGCCUAAUCUGCCUAGAAAGCAGCAUUUUUGAAGCUUUACGACUGUCCUCAUAUUCAACCACCAUUCGUUUUGUUGAGGAGGAUUUGACUCUCAGUUCAGAGACCGGGGACUACUGUGUGCGAAAGGGAGACUUGGUAGCCAUCUUUCCUCCAAUCCUACAUGGUGACCCUGAAAUCUUUGAAGCUCCAGAGCAAACUGUGCUCACAGGAGAAACUAGAGGAAUGGAAAUAACAGAGCUCUCAAAUCUGUACUUCUGUACUGCCUAAAUUAG
rnacentral:sRNA from 1 species